rnacentral:rRNA from 1 species
GAUGAACGCUGGCGGCGUGCCUAACACAUGCAAGUCGAGCGAACAGACGAGGAGCUUGCUCCUCUGACGUUAGCGGCGGACGGGUGAGUAACACGUGGAUAACCUACCUAUAAGACUGGGAUAACUUCGGGAAACCGGAGCUAAUACCGGAUAAUAUAUUGAACCGCAUGGUUCAAUAGUGAAAGACGCUUUUGCUGUCACUUAUAGAUGGAUCCGCGCCGCAUUAGCUAGUUGGUAAGGUAACGGCUUACCAAGGCAACGAUGCGUAGCCGACCUGAGAGGGUGAUCGGCCACACUGGAACUGAGACACGGUCCAGACUCCUACGGGAGGCAGCAGUAGGGAAUCUUCCGCAAUGGGCGCAAGCCUGACGGAGCAACGCCGCGUGAGUGAUGAAGGUCUUCGGAUCGUAAAACUCUGUUAUUAGGGAAGAACAAAAGUGUAAGUAACUCUGCACGUCUUGACGGUACCUAAUCAGAAAGCCACGGCUAACUACGUG